CAGAUAUCACUUGGUGUGCUCCAGACAUUUUCAUUCCGGGAAGCCUGCCUAUGAAAUGGAUCAAACAAAUCCAGACUGGGUACCAACGCUACACAUGGGGUACUCCGAAAUCCGAACAUCACAUUCAGACCGUCACAGGAGGCGAACACAACGGCAACAAAAAAAAGCACUAGUAGGAGGCUUUCACAAUGGAGCAGCAGAGUGUGAAGGUGAAGCCUCAGCAGAAGUUACCACAGAAGAGCAGCCAGAGAUGGACACCACAGAAGAGCAACACCAUAACAACCUUGUUAUUUUGGCUGAGGGCCAGAUUUGUGUUGGACAAGUAGAAGCAGAGGUAACGGGUGCAGA